ACAAACCAAACCAACAAAACACAAAUCAUGCUUGUGUUGCCCAGAGAAGAGAGAGAGAGAAGAAAUCGAAGGAGACGGAGGAGGAAGACCCACCGGUGACUACCGCCACCGUCGACAUCUGCCCGAGGCAGCUAAGCAGCAAACAAGCUCUUGCACUUCUCCCUUCUGCCAGAGUUCUCACACUCCCCUCUCCCAUCGUUCAGGAAAAAAUUUUCUUUGUCUAGAAGAUGCACCAUCAAAAUCACCUCAGAGGAAGCUGCUUGCAUCAAUAUUUUGUGAAUUCAGAACCAUCAGGAAUUUGCCUUCUGUGUUCGUGGCUGUGUUCACCAAGGUCGAGCUCAUGACCAAUAUCUAGUCCCAGUACUUUGUUUACAGAAUCCCUGGUGCCCACUAGUGCCACACGUGACUAACACUCGCGCCCGUGACUAACACUCGAACUCCCUCUCUCUUCAGUUCGCCAUUUUUAAAGCUUCAAGCAUUUCAAGCUUUAGAACCGUCUACUUUUAGGCAAAAAUCUAUCCUUAGUUCUUGAGAUCAAAAGUUGGAGCACAUCGAAAGCAACGUUUUGAGCCGAAUAGAUUGCGUUUUCGUUGUUGUUGACUUUGGGUGUUCAUCCAUUCUCUCUCUACUUUUAGGUUGUGACGAUGUGCCUCCACCUUGUUGAGGAUCAAGUGGAGAUUUUGAUGGAACAUCGAAGCUCAGUUUUGAUGUUUUACUUGUUUGCAACUAUCGAGCUUACUUGUGUGGGAUAGUGUUCAUUUACUUACAAUCAAGGUCCUAACCUUAAAAGAUAAGGCAGAUAAACAAAAGAGGAGCAGUUGAAGGCAAUUAAGGUGAGUGGGCAAUUUUUCCAGGCAGUGGAGAGAGCACACUUGCAUGCAUGGUUGCAGCGGUUGUGUGGCCAAAGCAAGGGAGCAAUGUGAAGGAUUCCGAGAGAGGAGAUCAAUCAUUUAUAUCCGUUCACAAUAAUUGCGCAUUUUAGGAGUAGCAGUAGCUGUUAGAUUUCUUAGGAACAGUUCAUUUGUAACUUAGGUUAUCAGUUACUCUUGUAUUCUUUUCUAUUGUUAUUCUUCUUAUUUGAAAACUUGUAACAAGUAACAAUUUCAGCA